GAUCCUUGAGCAGAGGUUGCCCUUGGUGAAUUCGCUUUAUUUAUGUUGAAUCACACAAAGGCAACUUUUGUUUGAGUAUC
rnacentral:pre_miRNA from 8 species